AGAGUUUGAUCAUGGCUCAGCCUGAACGCUGGCGGCGUGGCUAAGACAUGCAAGUCGCACGGGUGUAGCAAUACAUCAGUGGCGAACGGGUGAGUAAUGAAUCGCUAACGUGCCCCGGACGCUGGGAUAGCUGACCGAAAGGUCAGGUAAUACCAGAUAAUAUGACCUUGUCGCAUGGCAGGGUCCUCAAAGGUCCGCCG
rnacentral:rRNA from 1 species